UCAGGACUAACGCUGGCGGCGUGCCUAAUACAUGCAAGUCGAACGCUUCUUUUUCCACCGGAGCUUGCUCCACCGGAAAAAGAAGAGUGGCGAACGGGUGAGUAACACGUGGGUAACCUGCCCAUCAGAAGGGGAUAACACUUGGAAACAGGUGCUAAUACCGUAUAACAAUCAAAACCGCAUGGUUUUGAUUUGAAAGGCGCUUUCGGGUGUCGCUGAUGGAUGGACCCGCGGUGCAUUAGCUAGUUGGUGAGGUAACGGCUCACCAAGGCCACGAUGCAUAGCCGACCUGAGAGGGUGAUCGGCCACAUUGGGACUGAGACACGGCCCAAACUCCUACGGGAGGCAGCAGUAGGGAAUCUUCGGCAAUGGACGAAAGUCUGACCGAGCAACGCCGCGUGAGUGAAGAAGGUUUUCGGAUCGUAAAACUCUGUUGUUAGAGAAGAACAAGGAUGAGAGUAACUGUUCAUCCCUUGACGGUAUCUAACCAGAAAGCCACGGCUAACUACGUGCCAGCAGCCGCGGUAAUACGUAGGUGGCAAGCGUUGUCCGGAUUUAUUGGGCGUAAAGCGAGCGCAGGCGGUUUCUUAAGUCUGAUGUGAAAGCCCCCGGCUCAACCGGGGAGGGUCAUUGGAAACUGGGAGACUUGAGUGCAGAAGAGGAGAGUGGAAUUCCAUGUGUAGCGGUGAAAUGCGUAGAUAUAUGGAGGAACACCAGUGGCGAAGGCGGCUCUCUGGUCUGUAACUGACGCUGAGGCUCGAAAGCGUGGGGAGCAAACAGGAUUAGAUACCCUGGUAGUCCACGCCGUAAACGAUGAGUGCUAAGUGUUGGAGGGUUUCCGCCCUUCAGUGCUGCAGCUAACGCAUUAAGCACUCCGCCUGGGGAGUACGACCGCAAGGUUGAAACUCAAAGGAAUU
rnacentral:rRNA from 1 species